rnacentral:rRNA from 1 species
ACGCUCGACACCUACUGGAGGCAGCAGUGGGGAAUAUUGCACAAUGGGGGAAACCCUGAUGCAGCGACGCCGCGUGGAGGAAGAAGGUCUUCGGAUUGUAAACUCCUGUUGUUGGGGAAAAAAAGGAUGGUACCCAACAAGGAAGUGACGGCUAACUACGUGCUAGCAGCCGCGGUAAUCUGAGCGGGCUGGCAAGGC